rnacentral:rRNA from 1 species
UACGUAGGGUGCAAGCGUUGUCCGGAAUUAUUGGGCGUAAAGAGCUCGUAGGCGGUCUGUCGCGUCGGCUGUGAAAACCCGAGGCUCAACCUCGGGCCUGCAGUCGAUACGGGCAAACUAGAGUACUGCAGGGGAGACUGGAAUUCCUGGUGUAGCGGUGAAAUGCGCAGAUAUCAGGAGGAACACCGGUGGCGAAGGCAGGUCUCUGGGCAGUAACUGACGCUGAGGAGCGAAAGCGUGGGGAGCGAACAGG